CCCUCUGAUCGAGGUGCACAUCAAUCACAGAGAGCAGAGAGAGUUCCGGAAAUACUUGAGAGCACGAAUGAUCUCGAAGAGAGGUUUGAGUAAGCGCCUCAUUCGUCCAACUUGUCGCAACUGCGCUCGCAUAGUUCGCNCGAUCCGAUCAUUGCUGCGUUCACGGCUGACAACAAAGGAGUGUGCCAUGGGCAUUUUCAC
rnacentral:misc_RNA from 1 species